GGUGUCAGUUUGCAGGGGUGAUUGGGACUUCAAAACAGCCUGUGUUGUUGGUAGUGGCAGGUUGUGUCUGGAAGGCAUCCUGCUCCGUGUGGAAUUUCAGGAGGCGGCCAGCCACUCAGGGCCACAGGCCCCUGCACAUCAAGGCCAGCCCGUUUCCUUGGGAAACAGAACUCAGCAGCCUGGGUUCCUGGUGUCACUUUGCAGUAGGGGGUUGGAACUGUCCAACGAGGCGUUUAAUCACCAUUUUUUCUUUCAUUCCGUGUUCUCUAGUGUCAAAAGGAGUUCCUCAGGCUCCCUUGCAACAGCAGUGUUUGUUGCUUUGGUGCCGCUUCUGUGGUCUGGGAUUUUGGGAACCUUGCCGGUCAGUGUAAGCUCCUCCUCUUCUCUGCCUGUCCUUUGGCCCCUGCUUUAGCUGAUGUGACAUUUCUUCCCACAGCAAGGUGAGUGGGAAUGGCAGGUAGCAGCAUAGUGCUCAUUUGCUGCUAAUUUCAACUGGGGCUGUCGGUUGGAAGCUGCAAUUGCUGUUUUGCAAAUUGCCUCUAUCGGCAGGGUGCACACGACUAAGCAAAGAGCCAGGAAGAAACCUACCAUCCAGUCUUUGAAAAGAAGGACACAUCCAGCUGAGGCAGAAGAAACACUUAAGAUAGUUUAGCAGAAGGAAAACUUCUUGGAGAAGACCCUCAUACUAUGAAUCUGACACAUUUAUCUGCUUUUGUGGAGAAGACUGGAAAAAAAAGACUGUUUACAGUGCUAUUGAGUAGAUUUAAGACCUUCACUAAAUCUCAUGGAUGUGAUUGCUGUACCACCAUUGCUUCUACCCUAUUAGCAUUGGUUUAACUGAACUCCCAAGAGAAGAAUUAGUGAUCAGAAAGAGCACUUUUCUGGUUUUUUUGCUUCUGGUAGCCACUGUGAAUCCUGAAUUCAUCUUUGGAUUUUGAAUAGGAUGGUACAGGUUAGUGCUGAGUGCAUGAAUUGAGAGUAAAUUAAAGAAAAAUAAGGAAGCAGCUUUCCUGGAAGCACAUACCAUGGUACUGAACUUGUUAAAAUUGAUAGCUGAGUGAAAUGGAGCAACAGGUUGUUAAAGGAAUCCUGGAUUUCCUAAUUCUCAUGUUAAGGGGGAAAGAGACUUGCAUGGAAGAAACCAGAAUCAGGGUGAAGAAAAGAUUUGUAUUAACAAACGUGCAUUUUUUUCUUUGCUUUUAUCAUACAUGGGAAUUCUUCCCCUCUGCCACCCCUGCAGAUCAUUUGCUCAUUCCACACUUCAUUGUGGCCCACUCAGGAAGUCAUCUCAGAUGUUUGCUAAUGAAUUUCAGAUGCUCUUGCUGCCAUCACAAUUUCUACCCUUGUAUAGUUAAACCAGUAAGAAUAUUUUCAUUGUCAAACUCAGAGACAAUAUAUUCCUGUAUGCUCUGGUGCUGGGAAGAAGACACUGCAUAGAAAAGACUUUAAAAUUAAUAUAAUGAGGAAUAUGCAGAGGAAAAUAUGGUGCAUAUUUACAUUGCAACUCCAACAACAAAGCAAAAUUGAAAACAAAACAGAAAGCAUGUUUGCAAUAUGUCACCCUAAAGGAUACCUUUGAGUUGAAAUAUUAAAAGCAUUCUCAGUAACAGCAGACUAUGCCAGUUUAAAACAAAACCCAAAUUUGUCAUAUCUCAACAGCUCAGAGUAGAAAAUUCAAAGUAAUUCCAGACUAUUCAAAUGUUGUCCAAACUUGUGAUCUGCUUUUCUUUCUUCCUUUUUCCUGACCUCUCUCCUCCCUCUUCCAAAUACCUCACAUUGUCUGGCUUCUAAUAAAUGCUGUUGGUCUGUCUGAUGUGUGCCUAGUCAGGGGAUAAGGGAAAAAUGUUAUAACUAUUUUUCAUGUACUUUUUAUGAUUAAAGAAUUGCUUUUAUCUCUACGGUAACUGGAAUUUAAGCAAAUAUAUGGAUAAAGAAACACACCCUCUUACCUAUGGAAGAUUCCAUUGCUUUGCUUUAAAAUUUUGAUUUAGCAGAUCCUUUAUAGCUAUAAUUUGUUUGCACCUAGAAACUGAAGUAGGGCCCUCACCAUGCUAAAAGGUUAAUGAUUGCAUAAAAUUAAAACUUGGAAUGCCCAGAGCUUGGAGAUUUACUGCUGACUGCAGCACAUCAAGGAUUUCACCUGUAAAAAAAAACCAUUCCCUGCCAGAAAAACCCCACCCUUAUAAUGAGCAGGCCAGAUUCAGGAGGGGAGGAGAGGAGGUGAGGCAAAGUGCUUGGUGGCUGUGAGGCAGAUGGAGCCUAGAGCACAGAGCAGGUCCUCUGUCGCCUGUCACAGCGCGGUGCCCUGGGCAGGCUGCCUCCACACGUCAUUAACCACUCAUCUUUCCAGUGCCCUUGCAGGCACUGGCUCCAUGAGCCUGCCUUCAGCCCUUUGCUGAGUCCAGUGCUGACCCAGCUUGCUGAAAUCCUCGAGUCUCUCUGUGCUAUGUUCCAGCCCACAUGUUUCCUUUCUGCUGGGAAUCCAUAAGGAGCUGCCUCUGUUUUGGAAAAUGAUUCCUGGAAGGAAGGAUGUGGAGCCAGGGUGGUAUAAAGCUCCCUUCCCAAAGACCAGAACAGGACAAGAGAAUGAUGAUUGCUCACCAAGGUCGUGGUGAAGAGUGUGGACAGCGCUGUUGAUCACAAAGACUUGUGGGGAUCUGGGGGAAAGCACCAACCUUUACUGCAGGGGACUCUCCUGGGCAGGGAGAUCCAUCACAGACUUCCACUGGACCAUCCAUCCAGGCUUCCCAAAGCAAGAGAAAUGCCAUGGAAGAGAAACAUACAGCAUGUAAUCAAAAGGUGGAUCUUAAGUACUUCCAAGCUUGUUUCUACCACACUGAAACCUAUGACAGCUGCUACAAGAAACUGCUUCUGGAAUUUAUAUCCUUUUCAUUACAGAAUUUUAAGAAUCAUUGUUUUGGCAGCCAACAAAUAUAUUGUGGAGGAUUUUCUCCUUAGAGUUUUUUUCCUGUUAAAAAUGCAAAUACAAGACAAUGCAAAUGAAAGUGUGGAAAAAUGAAAGUGGGAAAAACGAAGGUGUUACUGUGCUAGCUUCAUUCUGGGCUUAGACUACAUUUUAGCCUCUUCAACCACUUUGGAAAUACCCAGUUCUGAUGUGUAGUGACUGGUAUGGAUGGGCUCUUACACCAAGUUUUUCAGGUAGCCUGGAGUGCUGACAGGUAUGCAAAGCUGGAUUUCACAGGCACUAAAAAUCAAAAUCUCUUAAAAUUUCUUUUUGAGGAAGGUAAACUUGGGCCACAGAUUUUGGUAUUUUUUUUUCCUUGACAGUUUGAAACUCAGGAACCAGUAGUAGAAAAAUGUUCCUCUUCAUGGUAGCACGAACCUCUUUCAACUGUUCUCAGUUUCUAUCCUAUUGAGAAUUUCUUUUCUAUAAUUUAUAUAACUACUUCUAAUUUUAGGAAUGUUUGAGAAAUAUACUUGUUAUGUACUCUAGCUACUCAUACCUCCCAUUCCCAAUAUCCAGAAGGUGGAGUUUGGUAACCUGCUUACAACCUACUUGCAGGCUUUUUUCCAGUGGCAGCUUGAGGUCAGAUGCAUGGGAUAUUUCUUUUUGGGAAGGUUAAUUGUUGAAGUCCAAAUAAAAACAUGUGUUUAGAUCUAUUUCUGUGAUGUAAAUGCAAUAUUUUAAAUAACAAAAUCCUGAAUAUCUUCCUAUUUAGGAAUCCUAAUUAAUUUCCUUUAUUCUUGAGUGAUCCACACAUGGAUUAUUCCAUUAUAGAUAGACUGGAAAACCAUUUUGGAGAUAAGCUCUAAGAAAGCAUAACUAUGCAAUUUUCCUAAAAUUUAACUUGAGUUUAGUGUCUGAUAUGCAAAAUGAGAAGUGGAAACAAAGACUAAAGGGAGUGGAAUUUAGUCCUGCUCAGAUUCAGUAGGAAGAUAUGACUUGUGUACCACCUGCACAGAUCCUCAGAAAGUGAUAAACUGAAAUGCCAGGUACAAUUACACGUUACAUAAACUUUGAUGCAAGAUUUAAUUACCAUAUUUUGUGCAUGCUCAUGUAGUGUCAUGGAAAUCUGUAGGCCAUUUUAUCUGUUGGCAUGAUCUAGAUGAAUAAUAUAAACAAGUAACUUUAUUUUCUUUUUUAAAGCCUUAGUGGUAGUGUUACAAUUUGUUUCGUAUUUCUUAAGUCUUCUACAUGCCUGGGGAAAAAAAUACUCUUUGAUUUAACAAUGACAUAUUAGAAACCAAAGCAUGUGAAACAUACUGGUGUUUUGCAAAAAUAAUUCUCCUGAAAGUUACUCCAUGCUCAUGCUGUUGUCAGUGCUAGGAAAUUAUACUUUCUUCUUUGUCUGUGCAAUUUCUACACUGAGGUUUUAUUUUCUUUCUUCUCUGCAUUUUGCACUAAUUUUCAUAUAUCUGUCAUUGGAGCAUUAAAAAAUCAUAAAAAAGCUUGGUGUUAUAAAAGUCCUGACAGCACAUUUUCAGCUUGUUUUAUUUUUUUCUUGUUCAAUUCACAAUCAAUGUUCGGCAACAUCAAAGACUGUAUAAGAAGGUUCUUUUUUUUAUCCAGACUUUUUAUUUAGCAUGUUUUUAACAACUACUUGAUAGCAGCCUCCUUUCCCCCUCCUUCUCCCACUGCAAGGCCCCAAAAUAUGUCAAGUUUCUUCUAAGACAAGAAUAGGAAAUGAUUGGGUUGUUGUCUGCAAGGUUCAUCCCAACCAUACAAACUCUAGGUUGGGAAGGCACCUCCUGAGUUUGUGUUUUGGGCACUACAGCUCAAAAUGAUGUUCACAUAGUGACUAAACAUCACAUUCAAAGUAAUUAGGCUUUUCCCCUGACUGUUCUUUGGGAAGUUGUUGCAGACCAUCGUGUCUCUAGUUCAGCAGAGGCCACAGGGUUAACUCCACUCUGGCUGAGCAAGAGGACACAGCUGACACAUGUAGUAGGUGCAGUGUUUCUGGAAACAUCUGUGCAUUGAUCAGUCUCUGUUCUAGAAAAUGAGUGAGAAGCUUAUUGAGAGAAAAAAAAAAACAUUUGCAUCAAGUAUCUGAUUUAAUAAAGAUAUAAAGACAUUAAGAAUCUGAACUCCUUUAUAGUCUUACCAAAUCUUGGGCAACACCAAACCAUUAAUCAGAUGGGUAAAGAUAGGAACUUUGCUCCUGCCUCUCUGCUAUUUCAUGUGGAUUACAGUGCAGGAGCGUCUCCUGUGUGGCUGAUCAAUCACUGGCCUUGUCAGGACAAUGUGCAGGAAGGAAAAGCAUCCCUGUGAGUCCUGUGUUGAUGUGUGCAGCCUUUUCCUCUUUGCAGUGGCAGAACACAGAGGACUUGCCUGGCUGAGAGAAGAACCCGGCAGAGCCCUGUGAGUGUUAGCAGGGCUCAGUCACCACCUGGACAAGAUGGUUUUCAGGAUGCUAUUCACUAGCCCCAUAAGUCUUUCUAAUUUGAUGUUAUUUGAUGUGAAUUGUGUGUAAGUAAUGUUAAUUAUGCAAUAGGUUUUGAAGAAUAUGUUUUGAUUGUACAGUGGAAAUGUCAGUCCCAUUAACAAUCAUUAUUACCUGUCAGAAGGCAGAGCAGCUUUGAAUGAAUGCUAAUUUUUUAUUCUUGUAUCUCUGCAGAUGCAUACCAAUGUUUCCUGUGUGUUUUGUUUAUUUGUAUCCUGAUCAUUACACCAACCUUUCUCUCCAAGUUUUCUCUCUUUGGGCUGUGUCUGGAAAAGAGAGAAGGAGGCUCUAACUUCAGGCCUCCUGCAAGUCAGCUUGUACUGAAUGUUUUUGAAACAAAGGUUGCAGUUCUCAGAAAGUGGUUCAUCUGUUUCCAAAACUUGCUCCCAGUGGUCUCUGGAAUUUAUUAAGUCUGUGGCAAUAGUUCAGGAGCAUUGGAGUGGGAUUUUGGAAGCAGCAUUCCAAAAGGAAGAAACUUGUCCUGUUUCACUUUAUUUCAGUAAUAGCAAAUCUGUAUGAAAAGUAGAAGAGCAUUAGAGGGAACAAACAAAUAUUUCUGGAUCCCACGCUUCUUCAAAACCAUGUUACAUUAUUAAAGGCUCAGUACAGAGUCCUUUAUGCUGGCAAUUAGGAUUUACUUAGGAUGAUCAGAUUUUCGGUCCAAAAUCGUGUCUUCCUUUCAUUCUAGUCUUGCAGAAGACCUAGAAGCUGAACCAUCAGGAUGGUUCCUCCACCUUUUUCAUGUUGCUAUUGAAUUACCUACUGAGCUUAAGUUUAGCAGAAAGUAUUACUGGGAGACUGGGCAUUUUCUGUGCAACUUUUUUUUCUUUAACUUAUGACUUGUUCUCACUUGUGGGAAAUAUUGACAAGAGGAAAGUCUUUUUCUGUGAAAAUUAAUGUACCCUGUUUGAUUCCUCUGGGUUUCUGUUCUUUGGUGUUUGCUUAAUUAAGGAUUGAUCCGUAGAUCUAAACUAAUAUUUUAGUACUUUAAUAGGCUACAAUAAUUACAUUUGUUGGUCUAAUAUUUUUUGAAUAUGUUAUUGGCAACCUUUAUGAAAUCAGAUGGACUAAGCAGUUAACAACAGCUUGCUUUGAACAUCAGUGGACAGCAGGGGAUAGUCAGUGUACCUGUAUAGAUUUUAUUCACCAGCUUAUGUGUAAUUGAAAUGACUAUUUCAUUAGGAAAAGGUGAAAAGUGAGUGACAACAGGAGCAGGAAAAUCAUUGUUGGCUUGCUCUGACUUCCUGUAAAUUGGAUAGUAUGGAACAAAGUUUUCAUUCAUAGAUAUUUUCUUGUAUU